rnacentral:rRNA from 1 species
AGUGAACGCUGGCGGUAGGCCUAACACAUGCAAGUCGAACGGCAGCACAGUAAGAGCUUGCUCUUACGGGUGGCGAGUGGCGGACGGGUGAGGAAUAUAUCGGAAUCUACUUUUUCGUGGGGGAUAACGUAGGGAAACUUACGCUAAUACCGCAUACGACCUACGGGUGAAAGCAGGGGAUCUUCGGACCUUGCGCGAUUGAAUGAGCCGAUGUCGGAUUAGCUAGUUGGCGGGGUAAAGGCCCACCAAGGCGACGAUCCGUAGCUGGUCUGAGAGGAUGAUCAGCCACACUGGAACUGAGACACGGUCCAGACUCCUACGGGAGGCAGCAGUGGGAAAUAUUGGACAAUGGGCGCAAGCCUGAUCCAGCCAUACCGCGUGGGUGAAGAAGGCCUUCGGGUUGUAAAGCCCUUUUGUUGGGAAAGAAAAGCAGCAGGUUAAUACCCCGCUGUUCUGACGGUACCCAAAGAAUAAGCACCGGCUAACUUCGUG